CCUACGGGGGGCAGCAGUGAGGAAUAUUGGUCAAUGGACGAGAGUCUGAACCAGCCAAGUAGCGUGAAGGAUGACUGCCCUAUGGGUUGUAAACUUCUUUUAUAUGGGAAUAAAAUGUUCCACGUGUGGGAUUUUGUAUGUACCAUAUGAAUAAGGAUCGACUAACUCCGUGCCAGCAGCCGCGGUAAUACGGAGGAUCCGAGCGUUAUCCGGAUUUAUUGGGUUUAAAGGGAGCGUAGAUGGGUUGUUAAGUCAGUUGUGAAAGUUUGCGGCUCAACCGUAAAAUUGCAGUUGAAACUGGCAGUCUUGAGUACAGUAGAGGUGGGCGGAAUUCGUGGUGUAGCGGUGAAAUGCUUAGAUAUCACGAAGAACUCCGAUUGCGAAGGCAGUUCACUGGACUGCAACUGACACUGAGGCUCGAAAGUGUGGGUAUCAAACAGGAUUAGAUACCCCAGUAGUC
rnacentral:rRNA from 1 species